rnacentral:rRNA from 1 species
UGACGGGUAGCUGGCCUUAGCGGGUGGUCAGCCACACCGGGACUGAGACACUGCCCGGACUCCUACGGGAGGCUGCAGUCGAGAAUCUUUCCCAAUGCCCGCAAGGGUGAGGAUGCGACGUCGCGUGGAGGAUGAAGGCCUUCGGGUCGUAAACUCCUUUUGUCAGGGAAGAAAACCCUGAGGUUAAUAGCCUUGGGGCUUGACGGUACCUGACGAAUAAGCCACGGCUAACUCCGUGCCAGCAGCCGCGGUAAUACGGAGGUGGCUAGCGUUACUCGGUAUUACUGGGUGUAAAGGGUCCGCAGGCGGCUAAGUAAGUAAGAGGUGAAAUCCUCCGGCUUAACCGGAGAACUGCCUCUUAUACUGCUUAGAUAGAGGGCAAGAGGGGAGAGCGGAACUGCCGGUGUAAGGGUGAAAUCUGUGGAUAUCGGCAGGAACACCAGUGGCGAAGGCGGCUCUCUGGCUUGCUCCUGACGCUCAGGGACGAAAGCUAGGGGAGCAAACAGGAUUAGAUACCCUGGUAGUCCUAGCUGUAAACGAUGGGCACUGGGUGUUUGCCUUUUAGGUGAGCGCCGAAGCUAACGCGUUAAGUGCCCCACCUGGGGACUACGGUCGCAAGGCUAAAACUCAAAGGAAUUGACGGGGGCCCGCACAAGCGGUGGAACACGCGGUUUAAUUCGAUGCUACGCGAGGAACCUUACCAGGGUUUGACAUGCUAGGAUGUAUUCCGGCGGAAACGUCGGAAGACCGUAUCCAAUCGGAGCCUAGCACAGGUGCUGCAUGGCUGUCGUCAGCUCGUGCCGUGAGGUGUCGCCUUAAGUGGCUCAACGAGCGCAACCCUCGCCUAUAGUUGCUACCCCGAAGUUACUUCAGAAGCACUCUAUAGGGACUGCCCACGUUAAGUGGGAGGAAGGUGGGGAUGACGUCAAGUCAGCAUGGCCCUUAUGCCCUGGGCUACACACGUGUUACAAUGGCGUGUACAGAGGGAGGCGAAGCCGUAAGGUGGAGCAAAUCCCAAAAAGCACGCCCCAGUUCGGAUUGAGGCUUGCAACUCAGCCUCAUGAAGCCGGAAUCGCUAGUAACGGCGUAUCAGCCACGACGCCGUGAAUACGUUCCCGGGCCUUGUACACACCGCCCGUCAAGCGCUGAAAGUGGGGGGCACCCGAAUCCCGAUGUAAUGUCGGGACACGGUGAAACCCAUGAUUGGUGCUAAGUCGUAACAAGGUA